rnacentral:rRNA from 1 species
AUUGAACGCUGGCGGCAUGCCUUACACAUGCAAGUCGAACGGUAACAGGCCGCAAGGUGCUGACGAGUGGCGAACGGGUGAGUAAUACAUCGGAACGUGCCCGAGAGUGGGGGAUAACGGAGCGAAAGCUUUGCUAAUACCGCAUACGAUCUACGGAUGAAAGCAGGGGACCGCAAGGCCUUGCGCUCAUGGAGCGGCCGAUGGCAGAUUAGGUAGUUGGUGGGAUAAAAGCUUACCAAGCCGACGAUCUGUAGCUGGUCUGAGAGGACGACCAGCCACACUGGGACUGAGACACGGCCCAGACUCCUACGGGAGGCAGCAGUGGGGAAUUUUGGACAAUGGGCGAAAGCCUGAUCCAGCCAUGCCGCGUGCAGGAUGAAGGCCUUCGGGUUGUAAACUAGCUUUGUACGGAGCGAAAAAGACUACUCUCUAAUACAGAGGGCCCAUGACGGUACCGUAAGAAUAAG